rnacentral:rRNA from 1 species
UACGUAGGCAGCAAGCGUUGUUCGGAGUUACUGGGCGUAAAGGGUGUGUAGGCGGUUGUUUAAGUUUGGUGUGAAAUCUCCCGGCUCAACUGGGAGGGUGCGCCGAAUACUGAAUGACUAGAGUGCGGGAGAGGUGAGUGGAAUUCCUGGUGUAGCGGUGAAAUGCGUAGAUAUCAGGAGGAACACCGGUGGUGUAGACGGCUCACUGGACCGUAACUGACGCUGAAACACGAAAGCGUGGGUAGCAAACAGG